rnacentral:rRNA from 1 species
CGGGACGGGUGAGUAAUGUCUGGGAAACUGCCCGAUGGAGGGGGAUAACUACUGGAGACGGUAGCUAAUACCGCAUAACGUCGCAAGACCAAAGAGGGGGACCUUCGGGCCUCUUGCCAUCGGAUGUGCCCAGAUGGGAUUAGCUAGUAGGUGGGGUAACGGCUCACCUAGGCGACGAUCCCUAGCUGGUCUGAGAGGAUGACCAGCCACACUGGAACUGAGACACGGCCAG